rnacentral:rRNA from 1 species
GAAAGCGUGGGUAGCAANCAGGAUUAGAUACCCUGGUAGUNCACGCCCUAAACGAUGUCGAUUAGCUGUUGGGCAACUUGAUUGCUUAGUAGCGUAGCUAACGCGUGAAAUCGACCGCCUGGGGAGUACGGUCGCAAGAUUAAAACUCAAAGGAAUUGACGGGGACCCGCACAAGCGGUGGAUGAUGUGGAUUAAUUCGAUGCAACGCGAAGAACCUUACCUGGUCUUGACAUGUACGGAACCUUCCAGAGACGGAAGGGUGCCUUCGGGAACCGUAACACAGGUGCUGCAUGGCUGUCGUCAGCUCGUGUCGUGAGAUGUUGGGUUAAGUCCCGCAACGAGCGCAACCCUUGUCAUUAGUUGCCAUCAUUAAGUUGGGCACUCUAAUGAGACUGCCGGUGACAAACCGGAGGAAGGUGGGGAUGACGUCAAGUCCUCAUGGCCCUUAUGACCAGGGCUUCACACGUCAUACAAUGGUCGGUACAGAGGGUAGCCAAACCGCGAGGUGGAGCCAAUCCCAGAAAACCGAUCGUAGUCCGGAUUGCACUCUGCAACUCGAGUGCAUGAAGUCGGAAUCGCUAGUAAUCGCAGGUCAGCAUACUGCGGUGAAUACGUUCCCGGGUCUCGUACACACCGCCCGUCACACCAUGGGAGUGGGGGAUACCAGAAGCAGGUAGGGUAACCGCAAGGAGCCCGCUUGCCA